AUUGAACGCUGGCGGCAUGACCUUACACAUGCAAGUCGAACGGCAGGCACGGGAGCAAUCCUGGUGGCGAGUGGCGAACGGGUGAGUAAUAUAUCGGAACGUGCCCAGUCGUGGGGGAUAACGUAGCGAAAGCUACGCUAAUACCGCAUACGAUCUAUGGAUGAAAGCGGGGGAUCGCAAGACCUCGCGCGAUUGGAGCGGCCGAUAUCAGAUUAGGUAGUUGGUGAGGUAAAGGCUCACCAAGCCGACGAUCUGUAGCUGGUCUGAGAGGACGACCAGCCACACUGGGACUGAGACACGGCCCAGACUCCUACGGGAGGCAGCAGUGGGAAUUUUGGACAAUGGGCGCAAGCCUGAUCCAGCAAUGCCGCGUGCAGGAUGAAGGCCUUCGGGUUGUAAACUGCUUUUGUACGGAACGAAACGGUGAGCUCUAAUACAGUUUGCUAAUGACGGUACCGUAAGAAUAAGCACCGGCUAACUACGUG
rnacentral:rRNA from 1 species